UUUUGUUUUAGGAUACUUACUUGGUGGGUUUAUCUGAUUCUUAUACAAAAAAAAGUUUAGCAUAUAGAAUAGGGUAAAGAUUAAAUUUAUGAAAACUGUUCCAUUCAGGUCAUAGAGAUAAACAGAUAGUUGAAUUGGUAGAAAAAGUUGUGCCAGCUCUAGCGGUUAUACAUCAUCCAAUUAUCAAGUUGUUCAAGUUUGCUUCUUUAAAGCUGGUUUUUGGAAAAAUAUUCGGUAGAAUGACUAUUUUGUAAAGAAAGUUAAAAGAAUUAAUAUUUUCUGUAAAUGGAGAUUAGGGACCAGGAUUAGAUACCCUGUUACUCUUUGAGGAGGGGAGGUAGGCGGAUUAAUUUUCAAAAGUAAAAAACAUGGCGGUUUUCUAUCAUAUUAGAGAGACAUGUGUUGGAAACGAAUUUGCACGAAAGACUGUUCUUUUUUUAGAGACUUAAUUAAAUGGUAAAAUUUCAUUUUGCAUACCGCUGUCUGAAAGAUUUUUUUAAAGAAAACAUCUUGAAUCAUUAUUUAUAAUGAAAUAAGGCAAGUAAAGGUGUAGAUAAUGAAGAAGAAAACAUGUGUUUCAGUGAAAUUUAUGGAAGAAGUUUUAAGAUGAAAUUGAUCUAAAAAAGAAUUUAACAGUAAAGUUUGUUUUAUCAAACAUAUUUGAAGAGGAAAUGGAAAGUGUACAAAUUGCCCGUCACUCCGUAAGUGGAGAAGUCGUAACAUAGUUGGGCUACUGGAAAGUGGUCCAAGAAAUCU
rnacentral:ncRNA from 1 species